AACGAACGCUGGCGGCGUGCUUAACACAUGCAAGUCGAUCGGUAACGCGGGGGCAACCCUGGCGACGAGAGGCGGACGGGUGAGGAACGCUUGGGAAUCUGCCUAUCAGCGGGGGACAACACGGGGAAACUCGUGCUAAUACCGCAUACGCUCUACGGAGGAAAGCCGGGGACCGCAAGGCCUGGCACUGAUAGAUGAGCCCAAGCCGGAUUAGCUAGUUGGCGGGGUAACGGCCCACCAAGGCGACGAUCCGUAGCUGGUCUGAGAGGACGAUCAGCCACACUGGAACUGAGACACGGUCCAGACUCCUACGGGAGGCAGCAGUGGGGAAUAUUGGACAAUGGGGGAAACCCUGAUCCAGCGACACCGCGUGGGUGAAGAAGGCCUGCGGGUUGUAAAGCCCUUUCGGUAGGGACGAAAGCUCUCGACCUAACACGUCGGGAGGUUGACUUAACCUACAGAAGAAGCACCGGCUAACUCUGUGCCAGCCGCCGCCGUAAUAC
rnacentral:rRNA from 1 species